CGAAGGGGGCUAGCGUUGUUCGGAAUUACUGGGCGUAAAGCGCGUGUAGGCGGGUCGUUAAGUCGGGGGUGAAAGCCCAGAGCUCAACUCUGGAACUGCCUUCGAUACUGGCGACCUGGACCCAAGUAGAGGCAAGUGGAAUUGCGAGUGUAGAGGUGAAAUUCGUAGAUAUUCGCAGGAACACCAGUGGCGAAGGCGACUUGCUGGACUUGUGGUGACGCUGAGACGCGAAAGCGUGGGUAGCAAACAGGAUUAGAUACCCUGGUAGUCCACGCCGUAAACGAUGAGAGCUAGUUGUCAGUAGGCAUGCCUAUUGGUGACGCAGCUAACGCAUUAAGCUCUCCGCCUGGGGAGUACGGCCGCAAGGUUA
rnacentral:rRNA from 1 species